CUGAGACACGUCAAACCAGUGCACCGGCAGCAGUGGGGAAUUUCUGCAAUGGGUAAAAGCUUGACGGAGCAAUACCGCAUGGAGGUAGAGGGCCUAUGGAUCGUGAAUUUCUUUUCCUAAAGAAGAAGCAAUAACGGUAUCUGGGGAAUAAGCAUUGGUUAACUUUGUGCCAGCAGCUGCGGUAAUACAGAGGAUGCAAG
rnacentral:ncRNA from 1 species